CCCAAGCACAAUGGACACUAAUGUUUUUGUCACUUUUUAUGGAAUCAAACUCAAAGUAAGAGGCCCUCUUAAAGCCGCCUGUCGGAGUGUCUGCCUGUCUGACCUCAGGUCGUGCACAAGCCCCUGUAAGUGUGGCGCCAGCGGCUGGACAGUCCAGACGAUACCAGCUGAUACCCUGUCAGCAGUGACGGCCGUGUUACUAGCACAAAAGAACUGAGAGUGUUGUGACACUCUGAAUCAAGAGCCAUGAGGAGAGCUGGCUGGUGGAGAGACGGGGGGCAGUCUUCAUUGCUGUCCUCCUCUUCCUCCUCCUCCACCACACUCUCAGACAGAGAUAAUGGGGGAGCUGAUAGCAGCCUUGGAGACUGCUGUGGCUCCAAGCACAGAUAUGGACCGAUAACGCCUCCACCACCUCGCCUGCUGCUGCCGCUAUGUAUAUGUGUGUGUGUGUGUGUGUGUGUGCAUCUAGAUGAAAGUGUGUAAAGCUGAAUCACAUGU